rnacentral:rRNA from 1 species
GACGAACGCUGGCGGCGUGCCUAAUACAUGCAAGUAGAACGCUGAAGGAGGAGCUUGCUUCUCUGGAUGAGUUGCGAACGGGUGAGUAACGCGUAGGUAACCUGCCUGUUAGCGGGGGAGAACUAUUGGAAACGAUAGCUAAUACCGCAUAAGAGUAGAUGUUGCAUGACAUUUACUUAAAAGGUGCAAUUUCAUCACUACCAGAUGGACCUACGUUGUAUUAGCUAGUUGGUGAGGUAAUGGCUCACUAAGGCAACGAUACAUGGCCGACCUGAGGGGGGGUCCGCCAACACGGGAAUGGGACCACGCCCCGACUCCUAAGGGAGGCAGCAGGAGGGGAUCUUCGGCAAUGGACGGAAGUCUGAACGAGCAAAGCCGCGUGGGUGGAGAAGGUUCUCGGGUCGUAAAGCUCUGUUGUAAGAGAAGAACGAGUGUGAGAGUGGAAAGUUCACACUGUGACGGUAUCUUACCAGAAAGGGACGGCUAACUACGUG